rnacentral:rRNA from 1 species
CCUACGGGGUGCUGCAGUGGGGAAUAUUGGACAAUGGGCGAAAGCCUGAUCCAGCCAUGCCGCGUGUGUGAAGAAGGCCUUCGGGUUGUAAAGCACUUUCAGUGGGGAAGAAAGCCUUGGGGCUAAUACCCUCGAGGAAGGACAUCACCCACAGAAGAAGCACCGGCUAACUCCGUGCCAGCAGCCGCGGUAAUACGGAGGGUGCGAGCGUUAAUCGGAAUUACUGGGCGUAAAGCGCGCGUAGGCGGUCUGAUAAGCCGGUUGUGAAAGCCCCGGGCUCAACCUGGGAACGACAUCCGGAGAUGUCAGGAUAGCGGGCGAGAGAGGAAGGGAGAAUUCCGGGGGUAUGGGGGAACUGCGGAGAGAUCGGGAGGAAUAACAGUGUCGAAGGCGGCCUUCUGGACGGACACUGACGCUGAGGUGCGAGAGCGUGGAUAGCAAACAGGAUUAGAUACCCCAGUAGUC